GUUUACGGCCAUACCACCCUGAACACGCCCGAUCUCGUCUGAUCUCGGAAGCUAAGCAGGGUCGGGCCUGGUUAGUACUUGGAUGGGAGACCGCCUGGGAAUACCAGGUGCUGUAAACU
ensembl:rRNA 5S_rRNA 5S ribosomal RNA